UUUCCCACAUCUAGCUCUCUUCCCCCCUCUCUCGUCUGUUCAUGCUGCUCACUGGUGGUCGCCGACGCCGGUUGCUCCCAGCUAUUGCCGCCACAAAUCUGGCUUCUCCACCAACGCCCGACACUGGAUAUGGCUUUCGCCGCGGCACCUACCACGGCUGGACAUACACAAGACCGGCGGCAGUGAGGCUAUACCACGAGGCUGGCGAGGAGAGAUGCCAGAUCACGUGGGCAGAAGACGGAUCCACGGAUUUGGGUGUUGGGGAGACCUGCUCUGGCAUUUGUCGACCAUAACGAGAAUCAACCACGACUGGUCAACGAGGUGGAUCGUCGCCGGAUCCGACGAGUCCAAGCAUGACCGGCACUAGAUCUGGUAAGUCCACGACCAGAUGCAUCCAACCCCACCCCCAACUCCCCCUACUUGUGUGAUAUAUGGAAUUGUUAUACUCGAUGGUAGUGAAGGUGUCAAAUUGAACUCGAUGUGAAGAUUUGAAGCAGAGUGUGUUAUAUAUGUGAUGUUGUUGUUCUGAAAUUGAAGUAGAUAUGUAGAUAUGUGGGACUGCUAUAUCUGAUGUGAAAUAUAGAUUUGUGAAACUAA